rnacentral:lncRNA from 1 species
GUUGAAUCUGAUCCUUUACUUCUGAAGUUAAUCAUAUAUACUUUUCAUUUUGGCAUGGUCACAGUAUUUUGUGGUUAUAAACCAGGAAUCAUUAUUCAAAGAAACAAAAUUUUACAUAGCUACAAUUAGAUAAGAAAAAGGUAUCUUGGCUUAUGCAUAAGAAAGUACAUAUUCUUUAUGUUCAUAACCAAUAUUGUUAAUGGUCUUUCCCUGGGAGAACAUAUUUGAGCAAAACAAUUCGAGUUCUGCUCUUUAAAAUAAAAUCAGCACAAAACAUCCAAUGACAGCUUUGCAAACAUUAUGUGAGCUAUACAAUUAGCUGUUCUUUUUUCACUAGCAAGUUGGCAUAAGAUUCACAGAAACUUCAUAGUAACAGCCUAAGUGACAAAAAGUCAUUAAUAUUUGGGGACAUGAAAACUAAGUGUUCAAUCCUACUCUUCCAAUAUUGCAUGGUAUCUUUUAGAAAAAUCAUGCUAUCAUAAUUAUGAAAAUUCUCUCAAUGAUAUCUGCAGAGAUCUGACUUAGAUCUUAUUAUUCCCCCUUGACUAUCUAUAAAUCAGAUUUCUGCCAGAGGUAUAACUGCCCUUGGACAGAGCUGAAGGCAAGAGAAGCCCAAGAAUGACUGUGUUGACUUUAGCCAACUGUGAGCCACAGGCCAGUGAGUUUGGGACUUGUGUUUUAUCCUAGCUGCACUCAGCUUUGAGGAUUAAAUUCUUGCCAUCUUCUCAGUGGUUGCAACAGAUUAAAAGAGCUCCUAUGAGAUUUGGCUGCAGUACAAUGGUUGAGUUACAUGAGCUGGAAAAUUUGUAAAAUAGCAUCAAUUGUAAAUUUGGAACAGUAUUCAUUGGUUUUAAGGUCUUAUUUUUUAUAAUUCAGAAGAGAAAAUGAAUGGGUUCUGUAAUUUUAUUUUUUAUUGGUUCUUGCAAAAUUUAGCUGACAUAUUUAUGACAAAUAUUGUCUAGAAUAUUUGAUAUCCUAUGCAAUAUUUUACAAUUUGGUGCUUUGAGCAUUUAUUAAUAAUAGUUUCUAAAUUAUAGAAACAAUUUAAAAAAAAUGACAAGAGGGUAAAGCAGGCCAGUGUUUAUUCUUUGAUUUGAAACAAACUAAAACUUUCAUUUUACCAAUUUUUUUUUAUGAAAUUGCAAAGACUAAGUGUUAUCACUAUGAACAGUUAUUAUUGCUAAAUGUAAAGAAAUAGGCUCUAGUUUUUGAAUGUGACAAAUUUUCUAAAGUGGUAUAAAUUCAAACAAUAUAUUAAUAAAAUAGAUGGAUUACAAUCUAGUCAUGAUAUUGCACUCACUUCCCCUCCAUAACAAUUCUAUUUGGGAGUGAACUUAUUCUAAGCAAUAGGAGAUUUUCUUGAUAGGAUUAAGCAACAAACUCAAUUAGUUUUAAUCAGUAAUGUAAGUGAAACAGAUUUUAACUUAAUUAAAGCUAGCAGAAGUAAAAUGCUUUGUAGGAUAAUGGGAGAUAAUGGAAUUUGAAUUCCCUAUCUUAGCAAUCAGAUCACUAAGAUUAUCUGUUUGGAAGAAGACCAAUAAGAAUGCUUUAAGUUCUUGGACUGAUUUUAAUAAUUAAAAAUGAAUGGAUACCUUGAACAUGUUAAAGAAAGAGACAGAUGCCUCCUACUUACUUCUUUAAAAAUCAUCAAAUGAAUCUUAUUGCUCAUGUCACAUUUUUACUAAUGGAAGGAGUAGCUUUUUUGUAAUAAAAAUGUAAAAUUUACCGAGACAUGCCAUAUUUACUUGUAGAUGUGAUUAAGUGAAACUAUGAGAUUUGAAUAUGUUGUCACUUUCUGUAAUGAAUGUUAUAAUCCCAUAAUACUAUUUAUGCUGGUAAGUUAAUGAUAUAAAAUAAGUUAAGGCAGUGGUAUUAUUUUAUUUUAACAAUAUUAAUUAUAAAAAUUAUCUUCAUUUUACCUAUAAAAAGAAGAGUGUGG